GUGGGGAAUAUUGGGCAAUGGGCGAAAGCCUGACCCAGCAACGCCGCGUGAGGGAAGAAGGUUUUCGGAUCGUAAACCUCUGUCCUUAGUGAAGAGAAAGAGACGGUAGCUAAGGAGGAAGCCCCGGCUAACUACGUGCCAGCAGCCGCGGUAAUACGUAGGGGGCGAGCGUUGUCCGGAAUGAUUGGGCGUAAAGGGCGCGUAGGCGGCCUGUUAAGUCCGGAGUGAAAUUCCUGCUUUCAAGGUAGGAAGUGCUUUGGAAACUGGCGGGCUGGAGUGCAGGAGAGGUUAGCGGAAUUCCCGGUGUAGCGGUGAAAUGCGUAGAGAUCGGGAGGAACACCAGUGGCGAAGGCGGCUAACUGGACUGUAACUGACGCUGAGGCGCGAAAGUGUGGGGAGCAAACAGGAUUAGAAACCCGUGUAGUCC
rnacentral:rRNA from 1 species